UAUCAACGUCUUCCUUUUUUGCCUCUCUCUCUCUAUCUCUUCAUCUCCCAUUGGAACUAGAGGAGUUACUCAUGGCGGCCGUCUCACCGUGGCAAUCACCCGUACGGAAUCAGAAGCUGAACCCACUUUUGAAACUGGAUUUGGGGCAUGGGUUUUACAGAAGCUUGGAUUUUGGAUAUUUGAGGCCAACCCAAUCGAGGACUUUUGAAUGCAAGAAGCUGGCGGUCUCUGCCGCUAGCAACGACAAUGCAGCGUCUCUGACCGAGUCCACACCUACACUGACUCGGUCUAAGGUGAAACGCCAUACAAUUUCAGUGUUUGUUGGGGAUGAGAGUGGAAUAAUAAAUCGAAUUGCAGGGGUAUUUGCUAGGAGGGGUUACAACAUAGAGUCCCUUGCAGUUGGUUUGAACAAGGACAAGGCUCUCUUUACCAUAGUCGUCUCGGGUACCGAGAAGGUCUUGAGACAAGUCGUCGAACAGCUGAACAAGCUUGUGAAUGUCAUUAAGGUUGAAGAUAUCUCAAGAGAGUCACAAGUAGAACGUGAACUGAUGCUUAUAAAACUUAAUGCGGAACCCAACAGUCGUGCUGAGAUCAUGUGGUUGGUAGACAUCUUCAGGGCAAAAAUUGUUGAUACCUCCGAAGAUUCACUGACUAUUGAGGUCACUGGAGACCCUGGGAAGAUGGUUGCUGUUCAAAGAAACUUAAGCAAAUUUGGAAUCAAAGAACUUGCAAGAACUGGGAAGAUUGCAUUGCGACGAGAAAAGAUCGGUGAAACAGCUCCAUUCUGGGGAUUCUGUGCGGCGUCCUAUCCAGAUCUUGAACAACCACCUCCUGCUAAUGUUCUCGUAGAGAAAGCGAGCCAAUCACUUAAUGGUGUUGCCAGUACAUCCUCGAGUGGUGAUGUUUAUCCGGUGGAGCCAUACGAUGACUUGUCAAUGAAACAAAUUCUUGAUGCUCAUUGGGGUAUUCUCUAUGAUGAAGAUUCAAGUGGGCUUAGAUCACACACGUUGUCUAUGCUUGUGAAUGACUGUCCUGGAGUUCUCAACAUAGUUACUGGGGUUAUUUCUCGAAGAGGUUAUAACAUUCAGAGUUUGGCCGUGGGUCCUGCUGAGAAAGAGGGGCUUUCCCGCAUCACGACUGUUGUUCCUGGGACUGAUGAGUCAAUUGGCAAGUUGGUUCAACAACUGAUAAAGUUAAUAGAUCUUCAUGAGGUUCGGGAUAUCACUCACUUGCCAUUUGCUGAGAGAGAGCUUAUGUUGAUUAAGAUUGCUGUGAAUACUGCUGCUAGGAGGGAUGUCCUUGAUAUCGCUAACAUUUUCCGGGCCAAAGCUGUUGAUGUUUCUGAUCAUACCGUUACCCUAGAGCUUACAGGUGAUUUUAACAAGAUGGUUGCACUACAGAAGUUGUUAGAGCCCUAUGGGAUUUGUGAGGUGGCAAGGACCGGUAGGGUGGCAUUGGUUCGGGAGUCGGGGGUUGAUUCUACAUAUCUCCGUGGUUUCCCUCUUCCAGUGUAAUGCUGAGUCAUUGAGUAGCUCUAACAAUGAAGGAACAUGUUACGUCUCUUGAAGGGUGGAUCAAUGCUGACUUUAAAGUGCAGAAAAUGUGGUGCCUGUCGUAACUUAUACCUGUGUCCUCUCUUUGCACUUUAGAUCUUGUUUAUGUCUUCCUAAGCUUUUUGUCAGCUUUGUUUUAACCGAAUUGAUAGUAUUCUAGGGGAGAACUGCUCUCCAUCUCCAGCUGCUUUCUCGACAACCGUCACAAGAGCAUCAUGCUUGUAUGAGUGCUCAAAGCCACGGGCUGAUUUGACCGGAGGAGGGGGUGACAAUUCUGAUGGUAGUGGAUGGUGAGGUAUUUUGACUGGCAGAAAGCAGUAGAUCUAUCCCCAAGUGUCAAAGAACAAUGGAGAAAAACUAAGAAAAAAGAUAGAGAAAGGACAAGGAGAAGGUAGAAGAUGAGAGGGUGAGCAGGGAGAGUACUGAGCUAGGGAGACGAGAGGAGGAAGCUUCACUGUGUUUUACUGGUGAGUGGAGUUUUAAAGUAGGGGAGGUGACUUGGGAGCUGAGUUUGUGCCUCCAUAACAGUAAUUAAGGCUACUUUUGCUUCACCCACAUAUGGCUCGUUCAGUGAAAUCCUUGCCGUCCAAGCAUACAGACGGGUGCCAUUGGAGUUAUGGCUAGCUAAUGGCAGCCACCAUGUGGAAUUUGCUUGGGACGGCUACAUCAAAGUUAAAGUUUAAUAGUGUUUGGUAGGGGUAGAUCAUACCAUCUUUCACGAGUGGGAUGCUUUAUUUUCGAUGCUUCUUGUAAGUCUUUAAUUUUGACACAGUCGAUCCACUCAAGCAUUUCAAGAUCGAGUAGUUUGACCAUGACAAAUGUUGUUCCUGAGAAGCCAGAAAUGAAAUUGUAAAAUACCUUUUGUUUUUUGA